rnacentral:rRNA from 1 species
GACGAAGGAUGCAAGCGUUAUCCGGAUUCAUUGGGUUUAAAGGGAGCGUAGGCGGACUUAUAAGUCAGUGGUGAAAUCUCUGGGCUUAACUCAGAAACUGCCAUUGAUACUGUAGGUCUAGAGUACAUUUGCUGUGGGCGGAAUAUGACAUGUAGUGGUGAAAUACUUAGAUAUGUCAUAGAACACCGAUUGCGAAGGCAGCUCGCAAAAAUGUAACUGACGCUGAGGCUCGAAAGUGCGGGGAUCUAACAGG